UACGAAGGGGGCGAGCGUUGUUCGGAAUUACUGGGCGUAAAGGGCUUGUAGGUGGCCAACUAAGUCAGACGUGAAAUCCCUCAGCUUAACUGGGGAACUGCGUCUGAUACUGGAUGGCUUGAGUUUGGGAGAGGGAUGCGGAAUUCCAGGUGUAGCGGUGAAAUGCGUAGAUAUCUGGAGGAACACCGGUGGCGAAGGCGGCAUCCUGGACCAACACUGACACUGAGGAGCGAAAGCGUGGGGAGCAAACAGG
rnacentral:rRNA from 1 species